rnacentral:rRNA from 1 species
GCGGCCGGCUGAAUAUUUUUUUUCACCCAUGUCUUUUGCGCACUUGUUGUUUCCUGGGCGGGUUCGCCCGCCACCAGGACCAAACCAUAAACCUUUUUCUUAUGCAGUUUCCAUCAGCGUCAGUAAAAACAAUGUAAUUAUUACAACUUUCAACAACGGAUCUCUUGGUUCUGGCAUCGAUGAAGAACGCAGCGAAAUGCGAUACGUAGUGUGAAUUGCAGAAUUCAGUGAAUCAUCGAAUCUUUGAACGCACAUUGCGCCCUUUGGUAUUCCAAAGGGCAUGCCUGUUCGAGCGUCAUUUGUACCCUCAAGCUUUGCUUGGUGUUGGGCGUUUUUGUCUCCCUCUUUGUAGGGAGACUCGCCUCAAAACGAUUGGCAGCCGGCCUACUGGUUUCGGAGCGCAGCACAUUUUUUGCGCUUUGUAUCAGGAGAAAAGGACGGUACUCCAUCAAGACUGUUACAUUUUCAACUUUUGACCUCGGAUCAGGUAGGGAUACCCGCUGAACUUAA